UCCGAGGUCGCCUAAUUGGUCGGGCAGCGCACUGUUAAUGCGCCGCGGAUUUCGCACUGUGGGUUCGAAUCCCACCCUCGGAG
rnacentral:tRNA from 2 species